ACGUAGGGGGAAAGCGUUGUCCGGAAUCACUGGGCGUAAAGAGCACGUAGGCGGUCUAUUAAGUUAGAUGUGAAAGUUUGCAGCUUAACUGUAAAAGUGCAUCUAAUACUGGCAGACUUGAGUCUCGGAGAGGUAAGCGGAAUUCCUAGUGUAGCGGUGAAAUGCGUAGAGAUUAGGAAGAACACCGGUGGCGAAGGCGGCUUACUGGACGAGUACUCACGCUCAUUUGCGAAAGCGUGGGGAUCAAACAG
rnacentral:rRNA from 1 species